GGUAGAAGUACAGAGUGUCGCUGUGCCAAGAAUGAUUUGCCCACAAUUACAGACGCGACCUACUUGUUGCAGUUAGAUUGUAGAAUGGCAACUAAUUGUAGGCCGGCGGCCACUCUAUUCAAUAACGGAAUCGGACUGGUUUGUGGGUAAAUUGUCUUGGCACAGCAACCCGAUGUGCUUGUCAAGCC
rnacentral:pre_miRNA from 1 species